CUUUUUCACAAAUAGUACCUUGACCCGAUCUCAAGCUGACUACUUGCUUAGCUUUGCUUCAAUCGACUGCAUAUUGAAGAUUGAAAAAAAGAAAAAAAACAACAACUAUGGCUCAAUUCAAUGUUAUGAGUCUUGUUCGAGGACUCGUCGUUCUUCUAGUCAUGAAAACGCCGGAAGGUAUAGCAGAUCUGACCUCGAGCUCCCUUAAGUUACAACCGUCUCAUAAUUCAUGGAGUAGCCCAACGACAGUGAUACACCGUACAUCUCCGGCACUCAAACAAGCACCAACUAACUCACCCCCGUCGCCUCCAAUGCCACCACCACC